rnacentral:lncRNA from 1 species
CAAAGGGCUCAGUCCCUUCGGGGAGGCUUCUGGUGAAGGAGGAUCGCUAGAACCAAGCUGUCCUCUUAAGCUAGUUGCAGCAGCCCCUCCUCCCAGCCACCUCCGCCAAUCUCUCACUCACCUUUGGCUCCUGCCCUUAGGGUUACCUGGGUUGCCAAGCCUUGUCUGAGAUGAUCCAGUUUUACCUGGAGGAGGUGAUGCCCCAAGCUGAGAACCAAGACCCAGACAUCAAGGCGCAUGUGAACUCCCUGGGGGAGAACCUGAAGACCCUCAGGCUGAGGCUACGGCGCUGUCAUCGAUUUCUUCCCUGUGAAAACAAGAGCAAGGCCGUGGAGCAGGUGAAGAAUGCCUUUAAUAAGCUCCAAGAGAAAGGCAUCUACAAAGCCAUGAGUG